rnacentral:rRNA from 1 species
CCUACGGGCGGCUGCAGUGGGGAAUUUUGGACAAUGGGGGCAACCCUGAUCCAGCCAUGCCGCGUGAGUGAAGAAGGCCUUCGGGUUGUAAAGCUCUUUCGGACGGAACGAAAUGGCACUCUUAACACGUGGAUGACGGUACCGUAAGAAGAAGCACCGGCUAACUACGUGCCAGCAGCCGCGGUAAUACGUAGGGGGCGAGCGUUAAUCGGAAUUACUGGGCGUAAAGCGUGCGCAGGCGGUUUGUAAGUCGGUGGUGAAAUCCCCGGGCUUAACCUGGGAAGUGCCUUGAACUGCGGCUAGAGUGUGGCAGAGGGAGGUGGAAUUCCGCGUGUAGCAGUGAAAUGCGUAGAUAUGUGGAGGAACACCGAUGGCGAAGGCAGCCUCCUGGGCCAACACUGACGCUCAUGCACGAAAGCGUGGGGAGCAAACAGGAUUAGAUACCCGUGUAGUC